UUGGGCGUAAAGAGAGUGCAGGCGGUUUUCUAAGUCUGAUGUGAAAGCCUUCGGCUUAACCGGAGAAGUGCAUCGGAAACUGGAUAACUUGAGUGCAGAAGAGGGUAGUGGAACUCCAUGUGUAGCGGUGGAAUGCGUAGAUAUAUGGAAGAACACCAGUGGCGAAGGCGGCUACCUGGUCUGCAACUGACGCUGAGACUCGAAAGCAUGGGUAGCGAACAGGAUUAGAUACCCUGGUAGUCCAUGCCGUAAACGAUGAGUGCUAGGUGUUGGAGGGUUUCCGCCCUUCAGUGCCGGAGCUAACGCAUUAAGCACUCCGCCUGGGGAGUACGACCGCAAGGUUGAAACUCAAAGGAAUUGACGGGGGCCCGCACAAGCGGUGGAGCAUGUGGUUUAAUUCGAAGCUACGCGAAGAACCUUACCAGGUCUUGACAUCUUGCGCCAACCCUAGAGAUAGGGCGUUUCCUUCGGGAACGCAAUGACAGGUGGUGCAUGGUCGUCGUCAGCUCGUGUCGUGAGAUGUUGGGUUAAGUCCCGCAACGAGCGCAACCCUUGUUACUAGUUGCCAGCAUUAAGUUGGGCACUCUAGUGAGACUGCCGGUGACAAACCGGAGGAAGGUGGGGACGACGUCAGAUCAUCAUGCCCCUUAUGACCUGGGCUACACACGUGCUACAAUGGACGGUACAACGAGUCGCGAACUCGCGAGGGCAAGCAAAUCUCUUAAAACCGUUCUCAGUUCGGACUGCAGGCUGCAACUCGCCUGCACGAAGUCGGAAUCGCUAGUAAUCGCGGAUC
rnacentral:rRNA from 2 species